GCAUAUCAAUAAGCGGAGGAAAAGAAACCAACAGGGAUUGCCCUAGUAACGGCGAGUGAAGCGGCAACAGCUCAAAUUUGAAAUCUGGCCUCGGCCCGAGUUGUAAUUUGUAGAGGAAGCUUUUGGCACGGCACCUGCUGAGUCCCCUGGAACGGGGCGCCAGAGAGGGUGAGAGCCCCGUAUAGCAGGACGCCUAGCCUCGGUAAAGCUCCUUCGACGAGUCGAGUAGUUUGGGAAUGCUGCUCAAAAUGGGAGGUAAAUUUCUUCUAAAGCUAAAUACCGGCCAGAGACCGAUAGCGCACAAGUAGAGUGAUCGAAAGAUGAAAAGCACUUUGAAAAGAGGGUUAAAUAGCACGUGAAAUUGUUGAAAGGGAAGCGCUUGUGACCAGACUUGCGCCGGGCUGAUCAUCCGGGGUUCUCCCCGGUGCACUCUGCCCGGCUCAGGCCAGCAUCGGUUCUUGCGGGGGGAUAAAGGCCCUGGGAACGUAGCUCCCUCGGGAGUGUUAUAGCCCGGGGCGUAAUGCCCUCGCGGGGACCGAGGACCGCGCUUCGGCAAGGAUG
rnacentral:rRNA from 1 species